rnacentral:lncRNA from 1 species
GAACUCCAAUAUCUGAGUUUGUCAAGAUGCUGAGGCUUAGAAGUUGAGUAACUUGCCCAAGACCAUCUCACUAAUAAGUGGAAAAGUCAGAAUUCGAAAACAGAUUCAUCUGAAUUAAAAAGAAAGAAAGAAAGAAAGAAAGAAAGAAAGAAAGAAAGAAAGAAAGAAAAAAGAAAAAUCCACCCAAGGAGGAGCUAUGAAGUGCACUGUAUUUCAGCAGCUUUCUUUCUGACUGCAGUGUGGGGAUGGUUCUCUGGUCCCUGGUUUCCAGGCCCACUGGAAAGGCAGGUGUGAGCACAUGGCCAUAAUUCCUGUGCAAGAUGCUGUCAUUUCAGCUGGGGUAUGUUGAUGUGAUGAUGAGGACAAAGAGAAGCAGGGAGACUGUGAACAUAUUUAGAAUAUAAAAUUUGAGGAAUUUUGGGAUAGAUUAGAUGGAGGACGUUAGGCAAGGGAAGACUCGCUGGCAACUUUCUAGUACCUGGUUGGUUGCCUGGGUAUAUCGGGGCAUCAUUCACUAAAUAGGAAAUUCUAGAAAGGGAACAGGAAUUGGCAAAAAGAUAAUGAGUUCAGUUAGGGGGAUAUACUUAAGAGUGUCUAAGUAGAACUUCUAGUAGACAUUUGUAUACAUGAGCCUGAAAUUCAGAGGGAAUGACUUAAAUCUUCUAUUUUUGUGCUGUAUGAUUAUUUGACUUAAAAUUCUUUUUAGUUAGUAAAAGUUUUUCACUUAAUAAUUAGAGGAAAUCAAGGGAGUGUCUAUUAGUGAAUCAGAGCCUCUUAGAGAAACCUGUUCCAUAUUAUCCUGUUAAAUGCUUGGGUGAGGUUUUCCUCUUUAUUGCAUUUUUCCAUUGCUAAAAUCAUUCUGCAUCAUUAACUUUAUUGUAUUGCAUGUUGCUUAUUGUCUGGAAACAAAUAGCUGAUUGUGUCACCUCUAGUUCUGUAAUGUCAAACUUACCUUGGUUGUGAGAUGAACGAUCCACCUCCAUCAAUUAUUGCCAAUUGUCUCUUUGAAAAUAUAUGCCAUAGUACCUAUUUUUCUUCUACAUCAUCUUCUAAUUUCAAAGAAUUAUAAUUUUUUCCUUUAAUUAAACAUUUGGCCCUUCAAUAUUGCCUUGUUUAUAAUCCUGGGCCCAAAUGAAAAUACCAUGAUUAAAUAAAUCUUAGGAGUCCCAGCUGAGAUUAUCUCAACAAGGAAACUGUAAAAUGCUCUAAGACAAAAAGAAAUAGAGGAUGGUAAUGAGAGAUAAAAAGCAUUAUCUCACUGAACAAAGGAAAGAAGACAUGAAAGCCAAAAUGGGCUGACUACAGAUCUUCUGACCUUAAGCUGAGUGUUUGGUGUGGCUUCCUUCAUGGAAUGGAUGGUUGCAAUGAAUUUUGGUCUCCCAGCAUUUGAGCAUUCUUCAUAUGUUUGUGAGUCCCCCACCCUCCAUUACAUUAUAAAGAGCUGGCUCCUACUAGAGAAGCUGAAAACAUCACAAUUGUUCGCCUAGACCCUGGGAGCUUAGGAGUGGGCACGUGACCCAGACCUUGGCAAUGAGGGAUAGCCACUCCAUGCUCAAAGCUGGAUGCUGAUAACAUGGAAAAGGAAGGACCGCAUGGACUCUGUUCUGGAGAGAAUGGCAGCAGCAACACUGAGUUUUCUGAGGCAGUAGAAAGUGGCUCUGGGGACCGAAUAUGUGCCUACUGCCCAUGAGUUGGAAGUACACAUUGUGGACUUUGUGUCCAGCUCUUGCGCAGUUGUGUCUUCAUCAGACCAGCUCUGCUGUAUGUGAUUUUGGACACUGCUUUUGUUUGCCAAGCUUCCAUACCUGGCCCUUCUAGAGCUUUUGUAAGAUACCCAAUACCCUUUUAUUAAAACUAUUCUCUGCUCACAUUAGCUAGAGAUGUUGUCUUUUGCUUGCAACUGAGUGAUUCAUCCUAAUUCCAUGUGAUACACUAAAUUUUAAGGAUCUCAAAUCUCUGUCCUCCUGUAGCUCCU